rnacentral:sRNA from 1 species
UGUAUUAUUAGUUUUCCAGGUAACAAGGC